GAACUUGAGUGCAGAAGAGGAGAGUGGAAUUCCACGUGUAGCGGUGAAAUGCGUAGAGAUGUGGAGGAACACCAGUGGCGAAGGCGACUCUCUGGUCUGUAACUGACGCUGAGGAGCGAAAGCGUGGGGAGCGAACAGGAUUAGAUACCCUGGUAGUCCACGCCGUAAACGAUGAGUGCUAAGUGUUAGGGGGUUUCCGCCCCUUAGUGCUGCAGCUAACGCAUUAAGCACUCCGCCUGGGGAGUACGGUCGCAAGACUGAAACUCAAAGGAAUUGACGGGGGCCCGCACAAGCGGUGGAGCAUGUGGUUUAAUUCGAAGCAACGCGAAGAACCUUACCAGGUCUUGACAUCCUCUGACAAUCCUAGAGAUAGGACGUCCCCUUCGGGGGCAGAGUGACAGGUGGUGCAUGGUUGUCGUCAGCUCGUGUCGUGAGAUGUUGGGUUAAGUCCCGCAACGAGCGCAACCCUUGAUCUUAGUUGCCAGCAUUUAGUUGGGCACUCUAAGGUGACUGCCGGUGACAAACCGGAGGAAGGUGGGGAUGACGUCAAAUCAUCAUGCCCCUUAUGACCUGGGCUACACACGUGCUACAAUGGACAGAACAAAGGGCAGCGAAACCGCGAGGUUAAGCCAAUCCCACAAAUCUGUUCUCAGUUCGGAUCGCAGUCUGCAACUCGACUGCGUGAAGCUGGAAUCGCUAGUAAUCGCGGAUCAGCAUGCCGCGGUGAAUACGUUCCCGGGCCUUGUACACACCGCCCGUCACACCACGAGAGUUUGUAACACCCGAAGUCGGUGAGGUAACCUUUUAGGAGCCAGCCGCCGAAGGUGGGACAGAUGAUUGGGGUGAAGUCGUAACAAGGUAGCCGUAUCGGAAGGUGCGGCUGGAUCACCUCCUUUCUAAGGAUAUUAUACGGAAUAUAAGACCUUAGGUCUUAUAAACAGAACGUUCCCUGUCUUGUUUAGUUUUGAAGGAUCAUUCCUUCGAAACGUGUUCUUUGAAAACUAGAUAACAGUAGACAUCACAUUCAAUUAGUAAUACAAGAUAUCACAUAGUGAUUCUUUUUAACGGUUAAGUUAGAAAGGGCGCACGGUGGAUGCCUUGGCACUAGGAGCCGAUGAAGGACGGGACGAACACCGAUAUGCUUCGGGGAGCUGUAAGCAAGCUUUGAUCCGGAGAUUUCCGAAUGGGGAAACCCACCACUCGUAAUGGAGUGGUAUCCAUAUCUGAAUUCAUAGGAUAUGAGAAGGCAGACCCGGGGAACUGAAACAUCUAAGUACCCGGAGGAAGAGAAAGCAAAUGCGAUUCCCUGAGUAGCGGCGAGCGAAACGGGAUUAGCCCAAACCAAGAGGCUUGCCUCUUGGGGUUGUAGGACACUCUGUACGGAGUUACAAAAGAACGAGGUAGAUGAAGAGGUCUGGAAAGGCCCGCCAUAGGAGGUAACAGCCCUGUAGUCAAAACUUCGUUCUCUCCUGAGUGGAUCCUGAGUACGGCGGAACACGUGAAAUUCCGUCGGAAUCC
rnacentral:rRNA from 1 species